CAGAAAAUCCAGUAUGACUUCUCUGAAAGUCUCAAAAGCUUCACAGAGCAGCACCAUUUAAUGAAGAAAUGUGGCUCUGUAGUGGACACCUGUGAGGCAGUGGACAGACAGCUGCUGAAGUCUGAUGCUGACUGACAAUAAACAGACCUCUCUGGACGUACCCCGUCUUUUGCAGAGAAAUUAUACCAUUGCCCUUCCUGUUACAUGAUGAUCCUGCUGUCCUGGACUGUAUAUGAUGAGGUAAGUAUGAGUUUGUCCAUGUGUGUAGACAUAUGUAGUGUACACACACACAUUAUAGACACAUUGUGUACUUAAUUAGUCUACAACCAUUAUUCAAUGCAAUAAUAUG